rnacentral:lncRNA from 1 species
UUAAGUAGAUCAAUUUAUUUAUCAAAGAAGACGAUUACAACUUAACUUUAUCUGACUUGAACACAUGAACAGGACUCUGUAACACAGGGAUCAUCUAUUGACAUACACACAUCGAAAGACAACCAUAGGAGGAACUGUUACUACAAAGCUUGGGAAGAUUCGACUAGAUGAAAACUGGGUAGAAGAACGGAACUGUUACUACAAAGCUUGGGAAGAUUCGACUAGAUGAUGACAACUAGGUAGAAGAACUCCUCGCCAUCGCCACCAAUCCACGCCUCCUCUUCACUGCCUUUGCCUUCAAGGUUCAAGCACAUCCUGCUAGGUGUUCUUCACUUGUAAUCCGAUUACUUCCGGUUGCCUCCUCAACUCUCAGCAACGUGAAGGCGGGGGGGGGUUGUAG